UACGGAGGGUGCGAGCGUUGUCCGGAAUCACUGGGCGUAAAGGGUGCGUAGGCGGCUCGGUAAGUCGGGGGUGAAAUCUCGGAGCUUAACUCCGAAACUGCAUUCGAUACUGCCGUGCUUGAGGACUGGAGAGGAGACUGGAAUUUACGGUGUAGCGGUGAAAUGCGUAGAUAUCGUAAGGAAGACCAGUGGCGAAGGCGGGUCUCUGGACAGUUCCUGACGCUGAGGCACGAAGGUCAGGGGAGCAAACGGG
rnacentral:rRNA from 1 species